GGGCAAACUAUUUUACCCUCGCUACCCAAGAGAGCAAACUUCGCGCUCUGCCAUUGUUAGGCCAUCCAAUCCGAACGCGAGUUGACCAAGACUCUCCAGUGGAAAACCCGCGAUGCUGUCGACGGCGCAUUACUAACUGUAGUAGAUACGGAUUUCACACUUUUUCACGAUCUCAAAUUCAGUAUUAUCAGUUUGUGGAGCGAGAUUGUCCGGAAUUCAACAUAAACAGGUAGCACACUCGAAUCUUUUGAAGACUUUCUUCACAAAUGGAAAGCGCGAUGUGAGUCUCAAAAUCGCUGUAGGAUAUCACUAGGUAAGUAAUCUGUUAUCGUUUAUUUCAGUCUAAUUUAUUUGAGUUGCCCUACUGAGAAGCUAAAUGUGUGAAUUCAAAAUGUGUGAAUUGUUGUUUGAAAAAUCUCCCGUUCUACAAAACGGUGCUAUGCCAGCAGAGCUAAACAGGAAGGUUUUUAUUUAUUUCCAAUAAAACAAAAUUUCUAUAUGCCAGACCAUUACAGUUAUUAUCAUAACUUUUCCUAAAAAAAGUUCUUGCCGAAGUUGGCAACUUCUUCAUUGCGAACCUACUUCAGCAUGCUUUAAGUUCGAGAAAUUACCAACAUUUAAUAAUCUAGUUUUCACAUCACGAAAAGGUUUUUAAGAGUACUGAAUUAAAGUAGAAGUCAUCUUGUCUUGGAAAACUUCACACCUGUGACCUAACACGAUGUGCGGUUCUAAUAUGAAAUAGUACUCAAAGCGCAACACAAGUGAGAAUCGGUAAAGCGCAAGAAAAUCAAGCAGAUGCGCUUCCUCUUGCGCUUGCAUUCCAGUGAGAAUCAUUAAAUUACUUGCUCUGCGCUUGCGCUUACCCCAAGUGAAAAACAACCUUUAGUCUAUUCUCUCAUUGCCCGGAAUAUGAUAAAUGUGUCAAAGAAAUAUAAAAAAAUAGAAUGAUUCUCUAUUAAAAUAUAUAAAUCAUAAUUAUUAUGAAAUUUCACGGGAGGUGGUUGAAUGCUUUUCUAUACCAUAUAUUUAACUGGGACAUUAUCCUACGGGUAUUUAACCUUCCUGAUCACAGCUGUGUGCACCUUUGAUGCUUGAGCAGCUUGUUUGAUAGGUAUAACAUAAACAGCAGGACAGCAGCAGCAGGUUAAAUACCUGACAGAUAAUUGAUGUUUAAUUUCUAUAAAUGAAACUGAUCUAGUGAUUUUUGUUGUAUGAACAUCAAAGCUAGCUAGAGUUAUCUUGGCACUGUGCACGAUUUCGUCUUUUAGGUCUUUAUUAGAAUAUAGAAACUAUGAUAAGAAUGCAAUGCACCUGGUGCUAUUGCAUUGUGAUUCCUUUAGCUAUUUAGUAAUUACUUGAUUAUACAUUGUAUUUCAGUUUACGUUCGUUUAUCGUCUAUCAUAAAGAUUGUCACGAAAACCGCGGAAUACCGGAAGUCCUCUCCCAAGAAAUACGAGACCAAUUGUCAUAACGUGGCUAUGCAAUGUUUUAUAGCGAGAAAAAAGUAUAAAACUAAUUUGGAAAUCCAGAAAUCAUAUUUCCGAUAUUUCAGAUGUCUCUAUCGACUCUCGGCAUUUAAGUCGCAUGAAAAAACAUGACAUUUUAAAAACUGAUGGGGAUGAUGGGCACUAUGGGUGUGGUCAACAGCAAUUUUCGCCCCUAAGAGAUAGCAAAUCGGGUGUUGUCAGAGGGGUUUUUAACCGGAAGAGAUAGCAGAGUCGGAAAAACCAUUAAACUUCCCUAAGGAAUAGCAUUAUUUACAC